UCUAGUUGUGACUUGGAACUUCUCUUUUAAUUAUACACACAAUUAUUCUAGAGAACAAAUUAUAAAGCAUCUUGCAUUACUGUAUUAUGAGGGAAAAAAAAGCCUAUUUAGGCAAUAGGCUAAGUCCCAUCCACAAAACCAGUAAGCAGGAGGGUAACAGCCUUUCUGCACUUGGCCUUUGUCAUACGGCAUAGCAGGAGACACUGCAGUAUGUGCUGGGUGGAAAUCUCCUCUCAGUACAUCACUGGGCUCCUUGUUUAGAUAUACGUCCUCAAUAGCUUCUUAUUGUGAUGUCUCUGAAACACUGAACUGUUUUCAGUGGUGAAAUCAGGGUUCUUAGCCUACAAAUAUGAAGCCCAUGUAGGUCACUCUCCACUCCGAAUUCUUUUACAUCAUCACUUUCCUCUUCAAUAUCACCAUUUUCCUCAAAUGCUUUAACC
rnacentral:lncRNA from 1 species